GACGAAGCAGUUUCCGGAGUUUAAGCUAACUAGCUAGCUUCGCUUAGCUUAGCUUAACUUUGUGCAGUGUUCAGAUACCAUAACGUCUGUUAUUGGAACAGUAUGUUGAUGAUUACUGGAAUAACACGGAAAAAUCACGUUUAACUAAACUAGUAAUUGUCAACGUGACAGUGACCGAGUCUUUAAACUGUUUUCAUGGCGUCCAAGUGCAUCAUGGGAGAUUGGCGGUUGAGGAUCGUUUGGCCGUUCGGUGUUCGGAGUCGGUUUUCAAGGUGUCACCACUUUGUCCACAACAUCGUCCACGAUCGCAGAGACAUGGUCCAUGAUCGGAGAGACAUUGUUGAGGAUGAGGGAGACAUCGUCCACGAUCAGAGACAUUGUGCACGAUCGCAGAGUCAUUGUCCAUGAUCGCAGAGACCUUGUCAAAGAUGAGAGAGACGUUGUCCUUGAUCAGAGACAUUGUCCCAUGCUUCGUAGAGACCUUGCGAUAGAAUCGGCGGAGACGGGGGUCACCGAUUUGACGGCACUGCCCGCGAUCAUGGAGACAUUUGUUGAUGAUCACAGAGACACCAUCUAUGAUCUCAGAGACAUCGUCCACGAUCACAAAGACAUUGUCCAUGAUCACAGAGACUUUUUCCAUAAUCUCAGAGACAUUGUCCAUGAUCACAGAGACGUAGUCCACGAUCACAGAGAGUCUUUGUACAAUGAAGAAGUUCUUUGAGACCAGGACAGAGGCCUCCAGGUCGACUUGUUCAGCUGCUGCAGCUCGGACAGAAACACGAUCAUCACCUCACUGGUCAACAGGUGUCUCCACUUCGUCCACGACAUCGAGUCUUCAUACAGAAGUUGUUUGAGACCAGGACAGAGGCCUCCAGGAUUAAAACUUGAACCAUUAAACCACAGAGAGAAGAGACAGACAUGAAGACAUUUUCAGAAGGUCUUCAGCUGCAUCGUCUUCCCCUGCAGAGACAAGAACACGUUAACCACAGAGGUACAUGAACAGUGUAUUAGAUACAGGAAAACUACUGAAACUGCUUUACUGCACAGUACUUGAAAAGGUAAAUGAAAAUCUAAAUUUCAAGCCUAUGAGAGACAGUUUUUACCUUUCCUCAUGUUUCUUUUUAGAAAUUACUAAAUAAAAUACUUAGUUACGUAAAUAAAUUUUACUAAUACUGUUUUUUUUUAUGCUUUUGGAAUACUGACUGUUUUUCCUUUCUAUACCAUGACAUGCAGCUUAAGUUAAAGAAAUUGCCUUAAAACAACUAUCUUACCUUUGUCUUACACAGACAACCCACAAACUCUGUAGAUCUGUGAAACUUAUAUUUCCCUAUUUUUAAUACUGCAAUAUCAGUACUCUAAUUCAAUAUACUACUGUAUACAUAGCCUUGUUUGUAAUUUGUUGUUCCUGAAUUUCCCCCUUUUGAUAAAUGAUUA